AACAGGAAGGGGUGGAGCCUUCCCUUUCCAGACCUUAUUUAAGGGUUGGCAGUGGGAGCAAAGUAGUGUUUUGCUAGAGACCUCUGUUAAUCUGAGGACUUCUAAAGAGACAAGCUCUGCAGAUGCAAGUCGUCUGUCAAGCAGUUGCAUUAGAAAUUGUAUCUUGAAGUAAAGAGGAUGCUUUUGGAGAACUUCAUCUCCAGGAUAGCCACUAAUAACAUGGGACAACAGAAGAAUUUGUUUGGGGCUGUUCUCAUUAUCAAGAACUUUUCAGUACAGUUUGAAUGAUUUUUGCUUUCCAUUCUAUUAAUACUACUAUGCUCACUGAAUGUAUUCAACUUUCUCCUUUCCUAUGUAACCACUGAAAGAGUAAGCAUAUCCUGACAGCAAUGCUUAUGUAAUAAUUAGGUAUAACUGUUUAUCAAAUAAGUGCAAAGAUAACUUUUUGCAUCAGCUUCUGUGUUGCUGAUUGAAAGAAGUUUUCUGUUCAACACUUAGAUGGCUAUUUCUAGAACAUACAGCUAUGAUCAAACCAAAGUGAAUAGCUUCAAAAUAUAAUGCACAGAUGACUCCAAUACAGUGCUCCAACCAGAAUUUUAUAUAUAUAUAUAUAUAUUGUAAAUACUAGCAGUUAACAGAAAUCAAGUGGUGAUAACAAGCUCAGACAUCAGGCGAGUUUUCAUGUCAAAAGAUGCCACACAGUGAUGUCAUGCUGCAUCACCAAGAUUAAAAUAAAAAUAGGUGGGAGAUGUAUCUUAAGGUUAACAUCUCAAAAGAAGCAUUGCUGUUUUGUGAGCUGAGCAGUGAUACAUUCCUAGAAGAAUUCAGUAGAAUGAACUUGGGAAUCAAGUGGUGGUAUAAAUCCUUACUUUUGUUGGAGCAGAGGAGACAGAUGAAGCAAUGAGUCUUUCAUCACCACACCAUCAGAGAGACUGAUGCUGCUGUUAAAGUAUGUGAAUCUGCUUCAAUUUUUGAAGUUCACAAAAGAGAUUUGGGGAACAAUAUAUCUUUAAAACCUGGAAUGAUGAAGAACAGAGACUGAAAUGUGAAGCAUUAUUCUAAUGAACAUGGGUGACAGAAUACAGCUUACCAUGGACUAUGCGGUAUUUCUGCUUUUCUAUAUCAAGUUUUCUAUGUCCCCACUUUUCUUAGAAGAUAACUUUUAAGGCCUUUUUACAGCAUCUCCAAAUCAAUAGAUGCAGCUCACGUCAAAUAAUUAAAUUGCUUAAUUCUAUCUGAGCAUUUGAUAUGUUAAAGACAUCUUAUUAUUGAUCUUACAGUUUCCCACAUUCCAUAACUCUACAAUAAAUUCACUUACCCAUUUGGUACC
rnacentral:lncRNA from 1 species